rnacentral:lncRNA from 1 species
GUCAGACAUAAUUGAUUAAUUAUGUAAAAUUUCUCACCAGAAAAAGAAUACACAAUCUAUUUGAACAGAAUCAGUGAUACUUUGUAAUAAGCACUGGGACAUCAAGAAAGUAAAGGAUGAAACCAUAGCUGGAGUGCAGUGGCAUGAUGUAAGCUCACUGAAAAUAGAACCACUAUAUUAUUCCACAUUCCCACUUAGUGGCAAGAGAGAAAAGGAGUACAAACAAGGGAAAUGCCAGAUGCUUGUAAAACCAUGA